ACCUCACGAGUUGUACGGUGAGGUCAUGAGUCAUAGGUUUGGACUCGUGACCAAACUAGUGUGAUGGCCCAAGGUAGUUUUCUUGGUAACAACUAAAACACUACGAGUCAUAGGGUCCACUCACGAGUCAUAGAAUGUGACUCAUGACCAUACCAGUAAGGAUGCCUUGAGCCACUUCCCAGACUACGAGUCUAAGCAAUGACUCGUACCCAGUCGUCAUGUGUCGUGACAUGACCCAUAAUGAUUGAUGACCAUUUUUCUAGUGUUUUAUUUAUGGGCACUUUGGUUAUUUCUCUCUUUUCCUAAUUGUAACCCACGACCUAAAAUACCCUAAGGGACCCUAUAACUUCCCAUUUAUCAAUCUUAAAAUAUGCUAAAACUCUCUCAAAUCCCUAAGUCAAAAAAAUCUAGGGUUUCAAAGGAUUUGACAUCUAGAACUCUAAUGGGUGAUUUCCCUCCAUAAUUAUCAAUACUUUUAGGUAUGUAUCUAUUUCCAUAAACUUAUUUUGUGAAUAGCAUAUGUUUAAAAUUGUUAUUUAUAUGAUUAAUUGCUGGUUUUGAAAAUUGGGUUGAGGGCCUUUGAAUAUUAUUGAUGGAAGUGUUUUCCCAUGGUUUUUGUGAACCAAUCAUAUUUUGAAUUGAUAGUUUUUAAACUCAUUGGGUGAAUGGGCAUGGUAAAUGAGAAUGGGGGUCAUGGAUUCUCCUAAAUAUAUGGAUUUGAAAUUGAAAUUAGUAAUAACCUCAACCCACAUUAUGAAAUUAACUUUGAAACAUGAGUAUAUAUAUAAUGUAAUUAUUUUUGGAACUGUCGCACUACCUAAAAGUCUAAUGGAACAUUAAUGGUUUUAAAUUGAAUAUUGGGGAUCAUGGAUUCCCCCAGUUAAUGGAUAAUUAACAUUAAACCUUGGGGGUCAUGGAUUCCCCCACAUGGAUGGAUGAUUGGAGCUUGUUGGGUCGUGGAUUCCCCCAAGUUAUGAUAAUUGGAACAUCAAGUUGAUAAUAGCUUGCAAGCAUAGUUGGUAUGAUGAUACCACUAGGUUAUCCUUAAUGGAUGAUUAUUAUUUCAAUGAAUAAGAAUGUGUAAAUAUUUUAAUUGGGCUUAAAGAGGGUGGUUUAGCUAAGCCAUAAAAGUGGAGGUCCCGAGGAACUAAUACUAGGAACUCAUAUUUUCCAAUAUAAGGGUUGGUCUUGAUGAUCAUGUGCUUGUGUCACACAUUAUAUAUUUGUAUCUUGGAUUGGUGAAGGGUCUUGGGUUCCCCGACCUUCCUUCAUUUGGCAAACAUGCAUAGGGACCAUUUUAGCAGGGUAAGAGAUGGACCCAUAUAGCCCGUUAGAGUUUAGAUGACGAUUUAAGCAAUACAGUCCAGGAUCCAAAGACACUUUUAUUUUCUUAUGCAGUGGUAUAUGAUUUCUAGAUUGUCCGAGAUCCAUCUUUAAAGUGGUUCAGAGGCCCAGUCUAGGGGUCAAGAGAAUCAGUAGAUC